ACGCACGCUGGCGGCGUGCCUAAUACAUGCAAGUUGCGCGAUGAAGAUUGGUGCUUGCACCAAUUUGAAGAGCAGCGAACGGGUGAGUAACGCGUGGGGAAUCUGCCUUUGAGCGGGGGACAACAUUUGGAAACGAAUGCUAAUACCGCAUAACAACUUUAAACAUAAGUUUUAAGUUUGAAAGAUGCAAUUGCAUCACUCAAAGAUGAUCCCGCGUUGUAUUAGCUAGUUGGUGAGGUAAAGGCUCACCAAGGCGAUGAUACAUAGCCGACCUGAGAGGGUGAUCGGCCACAUUGGGACUGAGACACGGCCCAAACUCCUACGGGAGGCAGCAGUAGGGAAUCUUCGGCAAUGGACGAAAGUCUGACCGAGCAACGCCGCGUGAGUGAAGAAGGUUUUCGGAUCGUAAAACUCUGUUGGUAGAGAAGAACGUUGGUGAGAGUGGAAAGCUCAUCAAGUGACGGUAACUACCCAGAAAGGGACGGCUAACUACGUG
rnacentral:rRNA from 1 species